rnacentral:lncRNA from 1 species
CAAAUACCGUAAUCCGUUCCUAUAUCCAUGCGACUUACUAUUCCAUUUGAGUUGGGUUACGUCGGCGUCUCCCCGGAUUCGUGUCAUGAUUUUGACUCCGCAAAUUCACCAAAAGUAGGUGAGUAUACCAAAGAAAGGAAGUAUCAAUAACUCUUUGAUUGUGAUGGGAACAGGAAAAGAGGCAAAUCCAUAUGGAAUUCCCAUACGAAGAUUAUUAUUAUUAAUUAUUGAAGAAAGAAAAAUGGGUUUGUUUA